AUUGGAAUCUGAGGAGGGCAGGGACAAGAGGAGGAGUGAGAGACUGGACCAAGCCUAAGUGGCAAGAUGCAUGCCACCUUGGGUCACCCCACAAACCGAUGGGGGCAGUGAGGGGCAGGAUGUGGGGGCACUGUGUAGAUGAAUACCAAAAGAUUCUUCACCUCUAAUCAUCAUGAUGGGAAGAACAAUGCCUUCCACUGACACAGUCCCUUCCAACCAUAGAGCUCAAGUGUCCCUACUUCUAAGACGCAGCACUCGACACUCUACAAUCUCACCAAACACUUCGAAACGUUUCUUCAGCUCACUGGAACUCAUGGUACUGGAGAGGUUCCUAAUGUAUACCACCCGGCCUUCUCCCUGCUCAAAAAGGAGGAAAACAACACGCUUCAGUGACUCUCUUGCCAUGGGCUUAAGGUGGGGGUUUGGCCCAGUGGAUGCUCAGGAAUAGCAAGAAUCAACAUCGCAAAGAGGCUGUAUUUCCCCCUUCGCCACCUGAAGCUCUGUGACUCAGGCUGAGUGGGGCAAUACCAAGACAUUUGUUAGCCCUGAUAAUGAUGGAUCCCCCUAGUAAAAAGCAAGCUCC